CGGGACGGGUGAGUAAUGUCUGGGAAACUGCCUGAUGGAGGGGGAUAACUACUGGAAACGGUAGCUAAUACCGCAUAACGUCGCAAGACCAAAGUGGGGGACCUUCGGGCCUCUUGCCAUCGGAUGUGCCCAGAUGGGAUUAGCUAGUAGGUGGGGUAACGGCUCACCUAGGCGACGAUCCCUAGCUGGUCUGAGAGGAUGACCAGCCACACUGGAACUGAGACACGGUCCAG
rnacentral:rRNA from 1 species